GGCGUACCCCGCGACGACGGCGUCCGCCUCGGAGCGUGGCCGAAGCGUGUGGCCCGAGGACCUGGUCGUUCCUAAGAGACGGUGAUGAUACUUGUCUGAGACAACAGCCCGGCGAGAGAAGAACUUCCCAGACGGCGAGAUGGCUUCGUUUGGCCCCUGACCGGCCUCUCGCCGUGACUCACGUCUUCAGCCAUCCGAGAGAUAAGCGGAGCCCGCAGAGGGGAUCAAAGCAGGGUGGCGGAUGCGGAUGGAUCGACCUCCUGGCAGAGCGCCUCGUCCCAGAUGAGGGGAUCCCCCUGAGAAGGAAGUAAAGCCGGAUAGCAGCAGUGAAGGUGAAGCAUUGUGAAGGUGGUCUACUUGCAAGAUAUCCCAGCCCAGGAUGCCAGAGGACAGUCCCUGGUUGGCUGACAAGCUUUCGUAGUCCAAGAUGGAAUAAAGGAACCGCAUCAGGAAUUCCACCUUGCGGAUGGUGCCAGUCAUAUUUUCUGUUUUGUCCGAGGUUCCGUGCAGAGAGGCAGAGCCGAAGUUUGCGAUCGGCCGCACCGAAGCCGGCGCGGGGGACGUCUCGACGUACGCAUCCUAUCGAGGAUGGGUCUUGUCCUAUUACGUUACAAAAGGUCUCUGAUGCCUAUUUUCUGAGGAUCUACCAUUUGAUGUUGAGAAGCAGCAGCGAGAAGAUGUCUCGGGGCAUUUUGUUCAGCACAGUGUUUCAAAUAAGGGUUGCGGUCACUGUGUGAGUUAGAGUCUCCUGCUGUGUGUCAGA